AUUGAACGCUGGCGGCAUGCUUUACACAUGCAAGUCGAACGGCAGCGCGGGCUUCGGCCUGGCGGCGAGUGGCGAACGGGUGAGUAAUACAUCGGAACGUGCCCAGUAGUGGGGGAUAGCUCGGCGAAAGCCGGAUUAAUACCGCAUACGACCUGAGGGUGAAAGCGGGGGAUCUUCGGACCUCGCGCUAUUGGGGCGGCCGAUGGCAGAUUAGCUAGUUGGUGGGGUAAAGGCCUACCAAGGCGACGAUCUGUAGCUGGUCUGAGAGGACGACCAGCCACACUGGGACUGAGACACGGCCCAGACUCCUACGGGAGGCAGCAGUGGGGAAUUUUGGACAAUGGGCGAAAGCCUGAUCCAGCAAUGCCGCGUGUGUGAUGAAGGCCUUCGGGUUGUAAAGCACUUUUGGCGGGAACGAAAAGGACUGUGCCAAUACCACGGUUCGAUGUCGGUACCCGCAGAAUAAGCACCGGCUAACUACGUG
rnacentral:rRNA from 1 species